AUCUAGGUGUGCACAGGUGAAACUGAUUGGACAAACGUCGGGUGGAGAGACUGGUGGUGACAACAUUUUUUGAGCGCUGCUUACCCAACCCUUGAGUUUAGUUUUUAUAGCUUUAUAUGUCGUUAAACUUGUUUUUGUUAACUUUGGAAAGAAAACCCUUUUUUUUCUGCAAAGAAAGCUAUUUUUGGAGAGACUUAAGUUGUAGUUAGAAGUACGUAUGAAAGUGCUCCACCUGUCCUGGCUCUGCCCACGGCCCUUGGUUGUGAACCUGGAAAGCCUGCAAAGGUCGAUAGAAGCGACGGCGUGUGUUUUGGUGAGAUUCUAAAGUCACACCUGAAAGAUGGAUGGCUGCGGUGAACGCCAGUAUCUCAGAGAGAAGCCAAUGGAGAAGCCAAGAUCACAAAUGCCUUUUUGACAGCUACAGGUGGAGGUGCCAUAAUCCACUGAAGUCUCCGGUUUGAACCGUCUACUCUCAGAAUGAAUCAUGGCACAAAGGAGCACCAGAAAGUACUGUUAGUGCAUGAACCCUGCACCUGGCACGGGGCAAAAGAAGGUCAAAACCGAAUGGACCGGCAAUGAAGUGAUGCGAAAAUUUAACAUGAACCUGAUCCCGCCGUGCGGAAACGUGGACAUUCCAGACUAACCCACAAGACUCUAGAGCAGUGGAGACACCUUCUCUGGACUGACGAGUCACGCUUUUCCAUUUGGCAAUCUGUUGGACCAGUCCGGGUUUGGAGGUUACCAGGAGAACGGAGUUGGGCUUGGCCCCUUAGUUGCAGUGAAAGGAACUUCGAAUGCUCCAGGAUACCAAAACAUGUUGGACAAUUCCAUGGGAUGGCACCUCAAGUUCAUAUAAUAUGAAAAGAAUAUGCUGUAGCAAUAACGCCUCAGAUGAUGACAUUUUCCAAGUAGUGGAGGGCAGCAUGACCUCCUCCCAUCUGGUUUCCUCGCCCUGCCUUUUCGACACAACGCACCUGAGGCGUCGGUAGCCCAUGGCGUCAGGGCUCAUGAAUGAAGGCGGCACUUGCAGGGUCUCGUGCACAACACUUCCGCCGAGAGAGACUGUCACAAGACGACAGAAAGUCACGUAAAAAAAAAAAAGGGUGCGGGUUGGAGCUCGGAGAGACUUUGCCUCAUUGUGCUGUUGUCACUGAUCCAUUUUUCAAGCCAGUCAAUGAAAACAGGUGGAGGUGGAGGUUCACCGAGUUCAUGCGGUGUCAGUCACUUGUAAGUUAUCACCUAAACGCAGGCUGUCAUGCUCAGAGACAAGCAGCCAAUUGUCGUGAUGGGCGGAUCGCCCCAAUUAUGCUUCUUUCCCUCUGAGAAUAUCUCUGAGACACACACGUCCUCACAUCUACCAAAGUUCAUUGACUUGCAAACAUAACAGUGGCGUUAGUAUUUCAUUACUGACAUCAUUACACAUUAUUAAAUAUAAUAACUUGCAACUGAAAGUCAUUUUUGAAAAAAUAUCUGCUGUGUGCCGUUUGAUUUUUUUAUUGAAUAUCAUAAUAUCUAAUAAAUAUUAUUAUUUAUACCCGGACUGCGAACCUUUGGGUGUCCCACGAUUCGAUUCAAGCUCAUGAGAUGCGAUGCGAGUGUAAGCCACUUUAGGACAAAAUGUAGCGCGACAGGUCGUAGCUGAAAUGAUCACAUCUACACGGCAGGUAGCACCACAGGAGCGACAAUACAAUGAUCCAGCAACUGACACAAGACAAAGCAGGUACAAAUAGGAGCGGGCUGAUUGGCAACAGGUGUGACCAGGUGCUAAUCAGCCGCGGCUGAGGAGGAACACAGCACUCAGGGAACAAGACAGGAAGCUGACAAAAUAAGAGCACUAGACAGGAACUAAGGACAGGAAAUACUAAAACUGUCAGCGGCAAGCCUGACAGCAUGCUUACUUUUACCGCAUGCCUUCGGUAAGCGCCGGAGUGAGAAGAGGUUUUAAAUUCAUUAGCGCCCCAGCUAAAGGAAAUACGGUAUAAAAGGCUUUUAAUUUUUUGCGUCUCCAGAAUAAUUUUUGGGGUGUACAUUUCGGGUUGCCGACCCCUGGCCUGCCUUAUGGCGACUUCCACAUGUCAGCUUCAUUAUGUCACUACAGCCGUUCACCGCCUAACAGUUGACCAGCGUUAUCACAGGAUGUACAUUAGAUACUGUAUCGACACCCUGACCCCUGCCCCUGACUGUGGACUGUAGAUUACAAGGGCCGGGGCCUCCUCCACCCAAGUAUCUUUCUCCCCCCCCUCUGCAAUGUCUCAGCUGUUCCUCGCUGCCAGGCCUCUCCGACUGAGUGCCUGCUCUGUUAUGGGUUCAUUGGGCUGGUAUGCGGCAGGAAUCUUUGGAUCAAGGUAAUUUCACACUCUUCAACUUUUUCCCAGGCUGUUAAGCCUCCCUCCACCUCUGUGCCACUCCGAGGAGGAGAUAGGGAGCGACACAUGUAGCCGUUAAAACACACACACACACACACACACACACACACACACACACACACACACACACACACACACACACUUGUGCCUGACGCCACCAGCAAAGCCCAGGCAAAGAUGUCAAAGAUCGGGCCGAGAAAUUACAGUCCGACACCGCCGUUUCCCGAAAGAGUAAUAUUAUCGCAGACUGAUGUGUGUUCUGUGUACUGCAUAGGUGUCCAAGUCACGGCCCGCGGGCCAGAUAAGACCCCCGGAUUAAUUCUAUAUGGCCCCCAGCAGCGACGUGCGGUGAGGUUCAUGGCUGGUGAGGCACUGACUUCAUCACAGUCAGAUUUACAAACAUAUGAACCCUAAAGAGUAUCUUAGUCACCAUUUGAUUGGCAGCAGUUAACGGGUUAUGUUUAAAAGCUCUUACCAGCCUUCUUCUCAGCGGCCUAGUGGUUAGAGUGUCCGCCUUGAGAUCGCUAGGUUGGGACUUCAAACCAAAGACUAUAAAAAAAAGUGGGACCCGUUGCCUGCCUGCUUGGCACUCAGAAUCAAGGGUUGGAA